rnacentral:rRNA from 1 species
CGUGUAGGCGGUCAGGUAAGUGGGAUGUGAAAUGCCCCGGCUCACCCGGGGACCUGCACCCCAAACUGCUUGACUUGAGUAUGGGAGAGGAUGAGGGAAUUCCUGGUGUAGCGGUGAAAUGCGUAGAUAUCAGGAGGAACACCGGUGGCGAAGGCGCUCAUCUGGCCCAAUACUGACGCUGAGGCGCGAAAGCUAGGGGAGCAAACGGGAUUAGAUACCCCGGUAGUCCUAGCCGUAAACGGUGAUCACUAGGUGUUGGAGGCAUUGACCCCUCCAGUGCCGCAGCUAACGCAUUAAGUGAUCCGCCGUGGGGAGUACGGCCGCAAGGUUGAA